AUACUACUCCCUCCGUUCCAAAUUACUCGUCGCAAAAAUGAAUGUAUCUAGAACUAAAAUAUAUCUAGAUACAUCCAUACCUGCAACAAGUAAUUCGGAACGAAGGAAGUAUAUA
rnacentral:pre_miRNA from 1 species